rnacentral:rRNA from 1 species
UACAGAGGGGCAAGCGUUGUUCGGAAUUACUGGGCGUAAAGGGCGCGUAGGCGGCCUUCUAAGUCGAACGUGAAAUCCCCGGGCUCAACCCGGGAACUGCGUCCGAUACUGGAAGGCUUGAAUCCGGGAGAGGGAUGCGGAAUUCCAGGUGUAGCGGUGAAAUGCGCAGAUAUCGGGAGGAACACCAGUAGCGAAGGCGGCUCGCUGGGCCACACCUGACGCUGAGACGCGAAAGC